rnacentral:misc_RNA from 1 species
CCAUUUCAUAACCUCAAAUUAUUACAGUUUAGAUGCAAUUACAUUUGAGAAUAUUUCUAAUAUAAUAACAAUAUGACAGACACAAAGCAAAAGAUUUUAGAGAAAUUCAAUGCAGAAUUAGGUUCUGAUUUAGAAAGACAAAAUAAAAUAUAUGAAUUUCAUCAACGUCUUAUUGCACAGAAGAAUGAAAUUGAAAAAUCGUUAUCAAUGGCUUCAACUGAAGCUCCUUCAAAAGUAAAAGCUGUAAUAGAAAGUGUUGAGAAGAUUAAUACUGAAUUCCAAAGAUUGGAACAAACUUCUAUAGAGUUCAGAUCAAAUGUACAAGAAACAAUACAUGAAAAUGAGAGAAGUUUAAAAGUACAAGAAAUUAUCAAUUCCAUAAGUUAUUUAGAAAAAUGUUUAUCUUACUUAAAUUUUAUAAAAUAUGUUGAAGAUAUUAGUGAUGAAAUACAAUUGUGUUUAACAAUUGGAAAUGAUGAAUCAGUCAUUUCAUUGUACACAAAUCUUACAAGUAUUAGCUGCCAAUUGAGGUUGUCAGCUUGUCAUUAUCUUCAAAAUUAUAUCAAUGAAACUUUACACUACUGGCAUAAUCUCAUAAAAGACAAAUUAUCCAAAGAAUACAAUGACACAUUAAAAGCAUUGAAGUGGCCCUUCUGCGGCAAUAAUACAAAUUCGUUAAAUACAUCCAUGCCAGAAAUAUUAAACAAAUUUAAGACACUUACGAAAUAUUUAUUACAUUUACAGUUACCAGAAGAAUCUGUAAAAUCAGUGGUAACAUCUGUAUUAUUAACAGACUUUAAGCCUGUGAGUUUACCAAUUUCACUGAUGGUGCGACCUCUUAGACAAAGAUUCAUAUAUCACUUCACAGGUACAAAACUAACAAAUCGACAAGAUAAACCAGAGUGGUUUUUUACUCAGGUAUUAACAUGGAUCAAAGAUCAUGUUCAGUGGAUACAAAAGAAUAUACAACCAACUGCAAAUUCAAUAGGUUUUAAUUAUGUAGAUAUGAAGGUAGAAUUUAUGCGUGCUUUAGUGCAACUGGCAGUUGAAAAACUUCAUUCCGAAUUGUCAUUAGUGCAAUAUGAUGAUAUAUUAUUUGCUCAUUUGGUUGAUGAAGCUCUAAGUUUUGAAAGAGAAUUAAGGGAAACUUUAUUUUAUCCUUCAGCUCAACCAGCCACUGUAUUUGUUCUUACUCAAGCUCAUAUUUUUGUGAAAUGGAUUAAUAUGGAAAAAAAAUAUGCUACUGAAAAGAUGGAUGUUAUUUUAAGUUCACAUACAGCUUGGGAGAAAUUAAUAACUUCUGAUUGUGAUGACAUGAAAGUCACUGAAUGUGCAGAUGCUUUUCUCACUCUUCUUACUACAAUCUCUGAUAGAUAUAAGCAUUUACCUCAACCAGGUCAUAGGUUACAGUUUCUUGAACUCCAAUUAGAACUAAUUGAUGAUUGGAGAAUAAGGUUACUUCAAUUGUUGUGCGAAAAUUAUGAACACCUCUCAUACCAUGUAUUCUUAACAUCUCUUAUACCAUGCAUUCUUAAUACAUUACAUUAUGUUGCAACUGUCCUAGAAGAGUGGGGUGUGACAGUACAUUUCUUGCAAUUGUAUUUUUUCAAAAAACAAUUUGAAGCAGUUGAAAUAGCGACAUUAGAAGGAAAUGACAUUACUAAAAAUAUAGGGGAAGUUGAGGGCACAGUAUUUGAUGAAGCUGUAGCUCUAUUAAGAAGAUCAGAAGAAGAAUGGAUUAACGAAAUUACUGACUCUGUAGCUUUGGAUGUAAAAGCAAAAAGUAGACCAUAUAGAACAGAUAAUUACUCCAAGCGGUUACUCUAUGUUUCAAGAAUUAGCAACACAACUUAAUCUAUUACAUACUACGCUUGCUUUACCCCUAUUUCAUCAAGCUUGGAAGAAUUUGGCUUCACAAUUCGAUCAAUUUCUUUUAGAAGAAGUAGUUUUGGUAAAUCAUUUUAAUGUAGGUGGAGCUGAGCAAUUACAGCAUGAUGUUUUUAGAAAUUUGUUUCCAUU